AGUAGGGUAGAGCAGCCUGGUAGCUCGCAAGGCUCAUAAUCUUGAGGUCGUUGGUUCAAAUCCAGCCCCUGCUA
rnacentral:tRNA from 1 species